GAUGAACGCUGACAGAAUGCUUAACACAUGCAAGUCAACUUGAACUUCGGUUUGGGUGGCGGACGGGUGAGUAACGCGUAAAGAACUUGCCUCACAGCUAGGGACAACAUUUGGAAACGAAUGCUAAUACCUGAUAUUAUGAUUAUAUGGCAUCGUAUAAUUAUGAAAGCUAUAUGCGCUGUGAGAGAGCUUUGCGUCCCAUUAGCUAGUUGGAGAGGUAACAGCUCACCAAGGCGAUGAUGGGUAGCCGGCCUGAGAGGGUGAUCGGCCACAAGGGGACUGAGACACGGCCCUUACUCCUCCGGGAGGCAGCAGUGGGGAAUAUUGGACAAUGGACCGAGAGUCUGAUCCAGCAAUUCUGUGUGCACGAUGAAGUUUUUCGGAAUGUAAAGUGCUUUCAGUUGGGAAGAAAAAAAUGACGGUACCAACAGAAGAAGUGACGGCUAAAUACGUG
rnacentral:rRNA from 1 species